GACAAAGGAGGAAAAACCAGUUGCAAGUCAGAUAUAUUCGAUAGUCUUAACGAUGAUGUCCCACUUCGAAAUAAAAGUGAAGUUUGUACAUAUAAUGAUAUCAUUAAAGGACAGUGCAUCAAAUGUAAAAUUGAAAAAGCAUCUACUUUAUUUCUGAAAUGUGGCCAUAGAAUCACGUGUUAUAAGUGUUCUCUUUUAUUUACAAAAUGUCCGUAUUGUGACACCGAUGUAAUCAAUAGAAAAAUAACACUCCUAUGAAGGUUCAAUCACCAACAGCUAACAUUUUUGAUUUCUAGUAUUCAAACGUCUCUCUGGUUUGUAACUAAAUAUUUUUUUCAUGUGGACCAUGUGAUAUUAAAAAGUUUAUAUAAAACCAUGUCGUCCUUGCAAUGAAAAGUAAAAUGGCCAUUUUCUCUAUAUCGAUCACAGAAUUUAUGAAGAAUAGAAAUCUUUUGAACUCGCUUCACAGUCGGGAACUCUAGAUCCAAUACCAGGAAUUGGUAAACUUUAUGUCAAGAAGACAAAUUUGUUUGCGGUGACGAUGUGCUUGAAUAACAAACAUCAGAACACAUCACCAUGAUCACUGUGUAAAAGACAACAUUUUGUCAUUUAAAUGUUAUUUCACCGAUGAAAGGAUUUUAAGUAAAAGCUCAGCCUCAAAUGCGACCUAACUGAUUUAAAAAAAAAUGAAAAUGCAGAGGCAUUUUAUUUGUAAGUAGAGCAUAUCGUGAUGGUGACAAAAAAAAAGGACACUACAUGAAAGGUAAGUGCACUUAAUAUUUAGAAGCAUUAAAAAAUAAACACAAAUAAGAAAGAGAAUUUAAGGGAACUAAAGGUGAGAACGACUCACAUCAGUCGACACAAUAGCAUCUCUCCAAUAAAAUGUUCAGUUGUUAUAAUUAUUCUGCCCAGUAUCUGUCUCUUCUCUUGAAAAGAUAUAUGCGCAUCGGAGAAUAAGCUGUAAGGAUCGACAAUUGUAAUGAUGUCAUAAUACGAAUGAAUAGCUUAACGAAUUAGUGUUUCGAAUUGAAAAAUGUUUGUUCACAAAUCGUAGUAAUUAUUUUACGGGAUACUUAUUCGAUUAUAAAGAGGCAGUCGUAUAAAACUCUAAGGUGAACAUGGUGAAUUUGAGAAGGAGUAGGUUAAUAAAACAUAAAAAAAUAAAACGCCCGAUUUGUCAAACAAUAGAACGAAUGGCAAACAAAUGUCAUGAACGACUUUAUGCAAGCAUAUCGAGAAGAAAAUGAGUGGUUAACGCUAGUAAAAAAAUUAUGAUCUUAACCUCUUAUUUGUAUGACAGUUUUUAAUAGUUAAGUCAUAUUGAAAAUAUUGGGCGAGAAACCCCGAAACGUGACAAUUAUUGGGCAUCCAAAGUUAUUUAAACAUACAUCACUGAAUGCAAACACAACUGAUUCAAAGAUUCAGACACACAUCUAAACAAUCUGACAAAGAUGACAAUAGAAACAGAUCGUAAUUGAUAGUACAUAGUUUAUAGUAAAACAUAAUGUAUACACACUUUCUUAAUAAAGUACAUAUUAAUUAAAACGUGAAUAAGUAAUCAAAAUGAAGGUAACACUAAUUACAUCUCAUUUUUCCGAGUCACUUCAACAUGUUUAAGCAUGACAAGAAUUUAACAACUAAAAAGUACACAAUAAUACAAGGACAAAUAAACUAAAAACUGAAAAAGAAAAAAUAUACCCCAUGUCAGCACGUAAGACCUAUACCUCAAGAUUAUAAGUAGACACUGAAUAUUUAUCUUUGAGGUUCUUUGAACUUUCAGAUGAACUUCAACAAAAAGAAGAGACGCUCUUUGACAAAUCCUAGUCAUCCAUGAUGGUUUAUAAAAGUUAAAGUAGCAAUUGCAAGCUCUUGAAUUUCUCAUGAGCUGAGAAAUGUAUACUAUAUAUGCGGUUCGUGUUGAAUUAUUACUGCUUAGAAGAGUUAAAGUAAUAAUUUCAAGAUUAACAUGUUAUAAGAGUUGUCAUAUCCCGCGCUUUUUCUGUUGUCUUCAUUCUCCAUUAUCUUUUUGUUUGUAAAAGACAAGUUUUUUCUUUCUUGUCGAGAUCUUGUAUGAUUGAACAACAUUAUAAUAUUUUUUUCCUUGAAACUUAAUGGCUUUAUAAUUCGUUGACCAUUCAGUUAUAACAAACAAAAAACACCAGAUACUAGCAGAACACGAACAGCAUUAGUUGAAUAGACACAAAUACGAAUAAACUUCAUAAUGAAGAUGUUUGCAAAACUUAAUCUAGAGGAAAAGAUAACACAAAAGGAUAUAUAGAUGGUCAGAUUGUGAAACAUGUCUUCGGUGAACGAUUGACAAGUGCCAGCAUAUUUUUGUAGAUUUUAUGGGGGCUAACGGGUAUACAUCAUUUUUUUUUUAUAUAGGAUUUCUCUAUCAUGUCUAUAUUUUUCUAUGAAUGAACUUUAUCAUAUACUUGAAUUGAUUUUGUGGAUGACUUUUGUACCAUAUUGAUAAAGUAACAACUUAUAAAGUAAUAAAUAAAAUUUGUAAUAAAGACGAAAAAUGAUUAAUUCUUUUCUAAAAUAUUUUAACCUCCGAGCCUCCUUAAGGUAGAUAAACUGUAAUCGUGAAGAUCAAAUGAAUAGGCUAACAUGGACACUUCUUAUACACUAUUUCGCGAAAGCACAUCAAACCACGUACAUCUACUUACUAAGUAAGAGUAUAUUUGAUAGUUUCUACUUUUAGAUUAAUGAUAAAAUACAUUUGUCUUAUGCUCACUUCAGUACUGAAAUAAAACUUCAGUACUGCACUAAAUAUAAUAAUUUGUAUGCGUUUGUUAUGUUUGUGUUUUUACCAUCGUCAUAAAAAUAUGAAUAUUUUCAAUCAUUUAUUUUCAGCAGAAGGCAAAACAAGGCUAGAAGAGGAUUCUUAAUGUACAAAACGUUUACAAAAAGUUGAAGAAAGAACUGGUGAAAGAUUCCACAAAUGCGUUAUUGUUUAUAGCAAUGCAACUGUUAAUUUUCUGAGUUUGACUAUGACGAAUAUCACUAUUAUAACGUUGUGUUUUCUGUAAUUACCUCUACGUCUUCAAUUUGUGAUAAUAAAACACUCUGUAUAACGGAAUCAAGGAACAUUAUAUGCUUAAAGCUCAAUAAUAAAUAAAAGACAACAAAAGACGUUGACUUUAUGGAACUACUUUUCAUUUUUCUUAUGAACAUGUGUUUUGAUCGUUUCAAACUAUGCUCUUCCUUUUUAACUAUUGACUGUUAUUGUAAUUUUUAUCGUGUCAUACAAAUAUUAGUGUAUUUUAGUAGCUUCGUAUCCUAGUGAGUUUCUCGAUAUUAACAGAAAUAGACGACUUCGUAUUAGAAUCUAUGACAUAUACGUGAUGAUAUUAACAUACCUAUUACCAACUCAUCAUUUCUCAGCAGUAACAUUCCCUCGCGAUCGGCCCUCAGCAUGGCAUUCACAUAUCUUAAGUGUUUUUGGUUUGUGAAUUUUCAUACGAUUCGGACUUCAUAAACAGGGGUGUGAUCCAACAGAGUUGUGAUAAAAAACAACGGAAGUCAACUUUGCUUUUUUUUUUCAUAUAUACAUAUAUAUAUAUUCAUAUUGCACAUUUACACAUCUAAGUGUUCUUAAUCUUCGUAAUCUAAUCAAGAUUGAUUAAUACUUUUGUCCAGUAUGGGUAAGACUAUGGUCGAGUAAGGUUUAGACUUUGGACGAGUAUGGUUCAGAAUUUGGUCGAGUAUGGUUCAGAGUGUGGUUGAGUAUGGUUCAUAUUUUGAUCAAGUAUUGUUCAGAUUUGGUAAAGUAUGGUAAAUACUGGUUCAGAAUGGUUCAGAGUUUGGUCGAUGAUGGUUCAUAUUUUGGUCAAGUGUUGUUCAGAGUUGGGUCGAGUAUUGGUCAGAGUUUUGUUAAGAUUGAUUCAAACUUUUGUCCAGUAUGGGAUAGACUAUGGUCGCGUAUGGUUUAGACUUUGGUCGAGUAUGGUUUAAAAUUUGGUCGAGUAUGGUUCAGAGUGUGGUUGAGUAUGGUUUAUAUUUUGAUCAAGUAUUGUUCAGAUUUUGGUAAAGUAUGGUAAAUACUGGUUCAGAAUGGUUCAGAGUUUGGUCGAGGAUGGUUCAGACUUAAGUCGAGUAUGGUUAUGAGUUUGGUCGUGUGUGGUUUAUACUAUUCUCGAGUAAGAUUCAGAGUUUGAUCGAAUAUAUUUCAGACUUUGGUCGAAAAGGGUUCAAAGUUGGGUCAAUAUAAAAAUGAAGAUGUGGUAUGAUUGGCAUUGAGACAAUUUUCCACAAGUGACAAAAUGGCACAGAAAUCAACAGACUUUGGUCGAGGGUGGUUCAGAAUUUAGUCGAGUAUGGU
rnacentral:lncRNA from 1 species